rnacentral:rRNA from 1 species
UACGUAGGGUGCGAGCGUUGUCCGGAAUUAUUGGGCGUAAAGAGCUCGUAGGCGGUCUGUCGCGUCGAUCGUGAAAACUUGGGGCUUAACCCUGAGCUUGCGGUCGAUACGGGCAUGACUGGAGUUCGGCAGGGGAGACUGGAAUUCCAGGUGUAGCGGUGAAAUGCGCAGAUAUCAGGAGGAACACCGGUGGCGAAGGCGGGUCUCUGGGCCGAUACUGACGCUGAGGAGCGAAAGCGUGGGGAGCGAACAGG